ensembl:lncRNA
CCAUUUUCCCGGGAACCCGGGGAAGCGGACGAGGAGGCAGCUGCAGCGGCGGCGGCGGUUCCCACAGUUGCUGCCACUGCUCCACGGCUGGCCCCUUCCCUUGCGCUAGCCGCACCACUUGCCUAGCAUCCCUCUCCCCACCUCCAAACCUUCCAACUGCACCGGGACCCUGGGCAGCAGCAGCAGCAGCUGCUACUGCCGCUAGGUCCAUUCAGUAUCCCCCGAUUCCCCUCUCCCCACCUACCAACUGCGAGUGAAGUGCGCGCUGUCAGCUCCAGAGUCCUCCGUCCCUCUGACCUCCGUGGGCCCCCGUCCGGGCAGCACCACUCCCGGCUGCGGCGACAGUUCCUGCGCCCGGUUCCCCACUCGCCCCGAUUUACUGCCACAAUCCACCAAAUAACAAGCUGUUGAGCCGACUCGCUUCUACACGAACUCCUAUUGGCUGCUCAUGACGCCGAAGAGCUUCGGAUAGGCCCUCGCUACCUGCCGUCCCCAUUGGAUGUAGCUCUGAAACUUCAUGGAUUGGUGCGAAAAACAGCAGGUAGGACAUCUUCCACUUAUGAUUGGUUUUUUCUGAAGACCAACGUUAUUGGAGAGUUGGUUAUUGAGUAAGCAAGUUCUGAGAAUUGAUUGGUAGACACGACUCCGGAUGUGCUUGACUGUGCACUGAUUGGUGAAUUGUGGGGUCAGGAAGAGCAGUUCGGCACGAGGAUUGGCGGCGGAGUGUCCCAUGGAAACGGAACCCAGAAUUGCAGCCAGGGGCUUGCACGGGGGCGGGGCAGUGUCUUUCCUAUGCGCCUGCGCCAAACCAGCUUCCCGGCGCCAUUUUGUCUCGGCAGCGGUGGCCGCAGCUCCAUCGCAUUUUAGUUUUCUGGCGAGAAGGAAACGGAGUUUUCAUCUGGCAGAUUCGUUUUUCUGCGGCAGCCAUCCACCGUUCCCUCAAGGACAGCACCUAGUUUUGGACGGAGGAGCCGCAGAGCUGUCAAAAGUUGUGCUGAAGAAAACAACAUCUCAGUGGCAGAUAUCUCAAAGCAUUACUGAGGUCUCUAUGAAUCACAGAAAUAAAAGCAAAUGGAAUCUCAUCAGGUAUCAGCAUCAAGAUGAUUUAUGGUAAUAAG